UCCAGAAGGAUAUAAUCAUAAAAACUUAGUUCCACCUAUUCAAGCAAUAACAUCAACAGGUUUAUUGAACAUAACAAUUAAUCUGCAUGUCAAAUUUAAAUUUAAAUAACUUGUUUAUAAAUAAGAUUUUCAAAUCAUGCAAAUCAAAUAGAAGAUUGCUUCGCGUGUGUGGUUGUUUUGGGAAAGGGUUGGAGUUGAUACUUGAAAUCCUGAAAUGGGGUUCAUUCUAACAACUUAUUGAAACACAUAGUUCAACAUCAUUAUGUCAUAUUCCCCACCAUUCGUAGUAAAUAGGUCGAGACCACGAGAACUUUGGACAUUUUAAUCUUCUACAUAAAUACUUAAAAGAACUGAAAAGCUGUUGGAAUUAUAAAUACUAGUGAAUAAGACAUAUGAAACCAAAGUCUCAGUUUCAUAACACUAAAAUUCCAAUGUCAUAGUCCAUUACAAAUGCAGCGAAGUUACAAGGUAGUUAAAGAAUUCAAAAAGCAAAACCAAAUGUAUUGGCAUAAGCAUGACAUCAUAAUUUUAGGAAAAAGU